rnacentral:rRNA from 1 species
GAGUUUGAUCCUGGCUCAGAUUGAACGCUGGCGGCAUGCCUUACACAUGCAAGUCGAACGGCAGCACGGGAGCAAUCCUGGUGGCGAGUGGCGAACGGGUGAGUAAUAUAUCGGAACGUGCCCAGUCGUGGGGGAUAACGCAGCGAAAGCUGUGCUAAUACCGCAUACGAUCUAUGGAUGAAAGCGGGGGACUCGCAAGGGCCUCGCGCGAUUGGAGCGGCCGAUAUCAGAUUAGCUAGUUGGCGGGGUAAAAGCCCACCAAGGCGACGAUCUGUAGCUGGUCUGAGAGGACGACCAGCCACACUGGAACUGAGACACGGUCCAGACUCCUACGGGAGGCAGCAGUGGGGAAUUUUGGACAAUGGGCGAAAGCCUGAUCCAGCAAUGCCGCGUGCAGGAUGAAGGCCUUCGGGUUGCAAACUGCUUUUGUACGGAACGAAACGGUCUUUCCUAAUACGGGGGGCUAAUGACGGUACCGUAAGAAUAAGCACCGGCUAACUACGUGCCAGCAGCCGCGGUAAUACGUAGGGUGCGAGCGUUAAUCGGAAUUACUGGGCGUAAAGCGUGCGCAGGCGGUUAUAUAAGACAGAUGUGAAAUCCCCGGGCUCAACCUGGGACCUGCAUUUGUGACUGUAUAGCUAGAGUACGGUAGAGGGGGAUGGAAUUCCGCGUGUAGCAGUGAAAUGCGUAGAUAUGCGGAGGAACACCGAUGGCGAAGGCAAUCCCCUGGGACCUGUACUGACGCUCAUGCACGAAAGCGUGGGGAGCAAACAGGAUUAGAUACCCUGGUAGUCCACGCCCUAAACGAUGUCAACUGGUUGUUGG